GCCGUCAUCGAGGUGGCGACGGACUCUUCGCCGUGCUCGGUGCUACGGCAGCCGUCGUCUCCCUUCGCCACGCCUGUGUUGGCGGUGCUGUCGAUGGGAACGUCGUGGUUGGCGUCACUUUGGUUGUCGUCUCCCUCCGUCGCGCUUGCGCUGGUGGUGGCGUCGGCAGGCGUCGGCGUGUGUGUUGCGCUCGACGGUGUGGCGGUUGUCACUUCCCGUACUCUCGUCACCUGCAGUACGCUAGCCGGUGCUAUCCCUGGUGCAGAUUCUUCCUCUGUUGGCGGCAGCGGUCGGCUCGUCGUCAACAUUCUCCUCCAAGCCGAUGCCGUUAGGAUUCUUGUGAAUGGGUGUUUGUUCUGCUCAGAGUCUUGUGGUUCCACAUUGCAGGUUGCCCUUUUCUUAGCCAUCCCCACCCUCAUAGCAAGACAUAAGUCAAUUGGCAGCCUCUCAAAAGCUUCUUUGUUGAUGGUUGGCUGGUCUACAUUCAAUGACGAAUCCCGUGGAGAUGCUUCGCUGAGUGAGAUAAUGCUCAUACCAAAAUCUACGGCUCAGCAACGAACCUCGAUCUUGUGCCAUUUCCGUGGAGGCAACCGAAGGGGAUCAACGGUUUGUCAAGCGGUGUACACUUCAACUGAGGCCCAAGACAUCGUGGCUCUGUUAGUCGUCACGGCAGCACCGCAGCUCCCUGUCGACUUGCUCCUUUUUCUGCUGUUUGGUCACAUCUGGAAGGCUUCCGUAGCUCGGUUAACCCUCUUUCUUCAGGGUUGUCUCUUAUGCUUACAGUUUCUAUCCUAUGCUGUGUACUAG
rnacentral:lncRNA from 1 species